rnacentral:rRNA from 1 species
GAUGAACGCUGGCGGCGUGCCUAAUACAUGCAAGUCGAGCGAACAGACGAGGAGCUUGCUCCUCUGACGUUAGCGGCGGACGGGUGAGUAACACGUGGAUAACCUACCUAUAAGACUGGGAUAACUUCGGGAAACCGGAGCUAAUACCGGAUAAUAUAUUGAACCGCAUGGUUCAAUAGUGAAAGACGGUUUUGCUGUCACUUAUAGAUGGAUCCGCGCCGCAUUAGCUAGUUGGUAAGGUAGCGGCUUACCAAGGCGACGAUGCGUAGCCGACCUGAGAGGGUGAUCGGCCACGCUGGAACUGAGACACGGUCCAGACUCCUACGGGAGGCAGCAGUAGGGAAUCUUCCGCAAUGGGCGAAAGCCUGACGGAGCAACGCCGCGUGAGUGAUGAAGGUCUUCGGAUCGUAAAACUCUGUUAUUAGGGAAGAACAAAUGUGUAAGUAACUAUGCACGUCUUGACGGUACCUAAUCAGAAAGCCACGGCUAACUACGUG